UACGGAGGGUGCAAGCGUUAUCCGGAUUCACUGGGUUUAAAGGGUGUGUAGGCGGAUGCCUAAGUACCUUGUGAAAUCCCACGGCUCACCCGUGGAACUGCUUGGUAUACUGGGUGUCUUGAGCCACUUAGGGGCUACCGGAACAAAUGGUGGAGCGGUGAAAUGCGUAGAUAUCAUUUGGAACGCCAAUGGUGAAAACAGGUAGCUGGGAGUGUGCUGACGCUGAGACACGAAAGCCAGGGGAGCAAACGGG
rnacentral:rRNA from 1 species